rnacentral:lncRNA from 1 species
UGGCUCCCAAGCUGAGAACCAGGAGCCGGGGGAAAUCAUAGCGAAAUCUGAACCUGAUGUAGCCCCGUCAGCAUCACACACACACUCAGAGCAAAAUGGCCUGCUCUUCAAUGUAGUUUAGUUUAGUUCAAUUGUCCUGCCCACCCCCUCCUGACCCUCCUGCCGCGGAGGGGUGGUAUUUGAAAGCACAGCUUCUUUCUUCUCUUCUCCUUGGGACAGCAACGGCACAGAGAGUGGACCGCCAUCCCUUACUGCCCACUCAACCGUUGCUGGGGACUGAUUCUUUCAGCUCUACAUAGAAUUCAAGAACUAUAAUUGGAUCUGCUUCAGAACAGUAAUCCCCACAGCCUUAAAACAUGCAAAAUAAAAAUAAAUGAAUCAUCCAUCAGCA